UGGCCCGUUAAUAAGCCCAAAGGUUAUUAUGCUGUGCUGUCCCAUCAAAUCGUACGGACGGUCAUGGAAGCUUCUUAGACUGAAGAGCGACGCACAGAAAUAGUGUCAGUAUUUUCCGGAGGAGAAGAUGGCGGACGCUAGGGCAGUUGCCGAGAGCUACUCUCUGCUGGUUCUCAACGUUAAUUUCCGAACAACUUCGGAUGAUCUGUUUCCUCUUUUCAGUAAGUAUGGAAAGGUCAUGGAAGUAUAUAUCCCGAGAGAUCGGAGGACUGGUGAAUCGCGUGGUUUUGCAUUUGUUCGCAAUAUGCACAAAGAUGAGGCACAGAAGGCCAUGGAUAAGCUAGAUGGGAGAGUUGUUGAUGGGAGAGAAAUUGCUGUCCAAUUUGCAAACUAUGGCCCACGUGCAGAACCAAUCCACGAAGGAAGGAUUGUGGCUGUUUCACGAGGCCAACGUAGAUCAAGAAGUAGGAGUCCUAGGAGAAGGUAUGAAGAUGAUUACCAUGGAGACAGAGAUUAUAGGAGGGGAAACCAGAGCAGAAGUUUCCGAGGAUACGAACAAGAUAGGUAUGAAGAAAGGGACCCACGCUAUUGGUAUAGAAGCAGAAGUUAUAGUCCAGAUUAUGAUAGAGGUCGUGAGAGAAGUCGAUAUGACGAUGGACAACAAAGCCGGCUCAGAUCAUAUGAAAGGUCUGCCCGUGAGAGAAGUCGAUACGAUGAUGGACAACAAAGCUGGCUCAGAUCAUAUGAAAGGUCUGCCCGUGAGAGAAGUCGAUAUGAUGAUGGACAACAAAGUUGGCUCAGAUCAUAUGAAAGGUCUGCCCGUAAGAGAAGUCGAUAUGAUGAUGGACAACAAAGCCGGCUCAGAUCAUAUGAAAGGAGUUUGUCUCCAAGAGGGACGCGAUCACCUAGAAACGGACAUCCUAUGAGACGUGGCUUUGGUUCUCAGUAAUUCUUGGAAUUUUACAUGCAAUGCUUGUGAACUGCCUGUGGAGGGACUAUUUUCGACUCCAGUUGAUUUGCUGAGCAUCGGACUGAUGCAUGUUCUAUAGUGAGCACUAGUGAACUAGGAGCUACUCAUUAUCCAUUUAUCUGCAUCGCCGCCAGUCUUGGAAGAAAACCUGUAGUUGAUUUUGUAGCACUGAUCAAGAAAGAAAUGACAUGUUUGGUUGGAGAGAUGUUGAUGCGUAAUCGUAAUCGGCGAAUUGAUGCAAGGGUGUUGAGAUGUCUUGUACUGAUCUUUAGUUUUGGUAAAAUUUCUCCCUAAUGAAAGAGAAAUACAUUAGACAACUGUUUUGAAUACAUCCUUAUGUGAUCCUGAUUCUCUCUUCACUCUUGCUAAUCUUCAAGGGGAUUUUUUUUGGUAUCCAUGAAUUCACGGUCACACGUCCAACCCCCACACCGCCAUCGCCAGGCCAUCCCAUCCCAUCCCUUAUGAAUCGCUAACAACCUUGUUUGAUUGAGCUUUCUUUUGGGUUAAAUUAUCUGGCUGACAGCAUUCAGCCCAGGUACUGAGCAGUUUUCAUGUCAAAGAAAAUAUAAGCGCAACCGGAUGAUUCCUUACCAAAUUGGUGAAUCUCUAACUUGUUAUGCAUUUAACACUUACCAUCCACUAUUUGCAAACAAGAAAUGGAAAUCAAAACAAAAAAGAAUGGAAAGUAGAGGAGCUGAACAUCAAGACACUUCCAGAAAAUAUAUCUUACACCCGAA